rnacentral:rRNA from 1 species
GGGAACGUGCCCUUCGGUUCGGAAUAACUCAGGGAAACUUGAGCUAAUACCGGAUACGCCCUUAUGGGGAAAGGUUUACUGCCGAAGGAUCGGCCCGCGUCUGAUUAGCUUGUUGGUGGGGUAACGGCCUACCAAGGCGACGAUCAGUAGCUGGUCUGAGAGGAUGAUCAGCCACACUGGGACUGAGACACGGCCCAGACUCCUACGGGAGGCAGCAGUGGGGAAUAUUGGACAAUGGGCGCAAGCCUGAUCCAGCCAUGCCGCGUGAGUGAUGAAGGCCUUAGGGUUGUAAAGCUCUUUUGUCCGGGACGAUAAUGACGGUACCGGAAGAAUAAGCCCCGGCUAACUUCGUGCCAGCAGCCGCGGUAAUACGAAGGGGGCUAGCGUUGCUCGGAAUCACUGGGCGUAAAGGGCGCGUAGGCGGUCUUUUAAGUCGGGGGUGAAAGCCUGUGGCUCAACCACAGAAUUGCCUUCGAUACUGGGAGACUUGAGACCGGAAGAGGACAGCGGAACUGCGAGU